GACGAACGCUGGCGGCGUGCUUAACACAUGCAAGUCGAACGGAAAGGCCCUGCUUUUGUGGGGUGCUCGAGUGGCGAACGGGUGAGUAACACGUGAGUAACCUGCCCUUGACUUUGGGAUAACUUCAGGAAACUGGGGCUAAUACCGGAUAGGCGCUCCUGCUGCAUGGUGGGGGUUGGAAAGUUUCGGCGGUUGGGGAUGGACUCGCGGCUUAUCAGCUUGUUGGUGGGGUAGUGGCUUACCAAGGCUUUGACGGGUAGCCGGCCUGAGAGGGUGACCGGCCAAAUUGGGACUGAGAUACGGCCCGGCCUCCUACGGGAGGCAGCAGUGGGGAAUAUUGCACAAUGGGCGGAAGCCUGAUGCAGCAACGCCGCGUGCGGGAUGACGGCCUUCGGGUUGUAAACCGCUUUCGCCUGGGACGAAGCGUGAGUGACGGUAAUGGGUAAAGAAGCACCGGCUAACUACGUG
rnacentral:rRNA from 1 species